AUUCAUUGCCCCGGUGGCCGAAUGGGUAAUGCGGCCACCUGGUAGCGCCUUGGCGUGGGGACCCAAGGCGCGUGGGUUCGAAACCCGCAGGGGACAACAUUACAUCCGGAGCCAAUUUCUCAGCUCCUAAAAUAAUGGGAUGUGAACCUGCCAAGUAGGUACCUUCGGGCGGACCUACUACUUGAUUUAGCUGAUUUUUCCUGGGCUAGGAACCUGUAUUGCAUGUACCAAAUCCUGUCUUUCAUUAAUUUUCCUAUGUUCCUGUUAUAUUCUUGGCGUCGUUCAACACUAAACAUUCCUCCUGUAUAACCAACUCUUGCCUGUAUUUAACAUCACACAAGGACUCGUCAUAAGCACUGCUUGCAUACGAGUAUAACGGAAGAAGAAUAAUAA
rnacentral:sRNA from 1 species